rnacentral:rRNA from 1 species
CCUACGGGUGGCAGCAGUGAGGAAUAUUGGUCAAUGGGCGCGAGCCUGAACCAGCCAAGUAGCGUGCAGGAUGACUGCCCUACGGGUUGUAAACUUCUUUUAUGAAGGAAUAAAGUGAGGCACGUGUGCCUUUUUGUAUGUACUUUAUGAAUAAGGAUCGGCUAACUCCGUGCCAGCAGCCGCGGUAAUACGGAGGGUCCGAGCGUUAUCCGGAUUUAUUGGGUUUAAAGGGAGCGUAGAUGGUUCGUUAAGUCAGUUGUGAAAGGUUGCGGCUCAACCGUAAAAUUGCAAUUGAUACUGGGAGGCUUGAGUACAGUUGAGGUAGGCGGAAUUCGUGGUGUAGCGGUGAAAUGCUUAGAUAUCACGAAGAACUCCGAUUGCGAAGGCAGCUUACUAAACUGUCACUGACAUUGAUGCUCGAAAGUGUGGGUAUCAAACAGGAUUAGAUACCCGAGUAGUC